rnacentral:rRNA from 1 species
GUCUACGGCCAAACCACCCUGAACAAGUCCGAUCCCGUCCGAUCUCGGAAGCUAAGUAGGGUCGGGCCUGGUUAGUACUUGGAUGGGAGACCGCCUAGGAGGACCAGGUGCCGUAGCCG